rnacentral:rRNA from 1 species
CCUACGGGAGGCAGCAGUAGGGAAUAUUGCUCAAUGGGGGAAACCCUGAAGCAGCAACGCCGCGUGGAGGAUGAAGGUUUUCGGAUUGUAAACUCCUUUUGUUAGAGAAGAUAAUGACGGUAUCUAACGAAUAAGCACCGGCUAACUCCGUGCCAGCAGCCGCGGUAAUACGGAGGGUGCAAGCGUUACUCGGAAUCACUGGGCGUAAAGAGCGCGUAGGCGGGAUAGCAAGUCAGAUGUGAAAUCCUAUGGCUUAACCAUAGAACUGCAUUUGAAACUGUUAUUCUAGAGUAUGGGAGAGGUAGGUGGAAUUCUUGGUGUAGCGGUAAAAUGCGUAGAGAUCAAGAGGAAUACUCAUUGCGAAGGCGACCUGCUAGAACAUAACUGACGCUGAUGCGCGAAGGCGUGGGGAGCAAACAGGAUUAGAUACCCUUGUAGUC